GAUGAACGCUGGCGGCGUGCCUAAUACAUGCAAGUCGAGCGAACGGACGAGAAGCUUGCUUCUCUGAUGUUAGCGGCGGACGGGUGAGUAACACGUGGAUAACCUACCUAUAAGACUGGGAUAACUUCGGGAAACCGUAGCUAAUACCGGAUAAUAUUUUGAACCGCAUGGUUCAAAAGUGAAAGACGGUCUUGCUGUCACUUAUAGAUGGAUCCGCGCUGCAUUAGCUAGUUGGUAAGGUAACGGCUUACCAAGGCAACGAUGCAUAGCCGACCUGAGAGGGUGAUCGGCCACACUGGAACUGAGACACGGUCCUGACUCCUACGGUAGGCAGCAGUAGGGAAUCUUCCGCAAUGGGCGAAAGCCUGACGGAGCAACGCCGCGUGAGUGAUGAAGGUCUUCGGAUCGUAAAACUCUGUUAUUAGGGAAGAACAUAUGUGUAAGUAACUGUGCACAUCUUGACGGUACCUAAUCAGAAAGCCACGGCUAACUACGUG
rnacentral:rRNA from 1 species